rnacentral:rRNA from 1 species
UAACGCUGGCGGCAUGCUUACCACAUGGCCUUUAGAACGGUAACAGGCCGCUGCGAUCCCUUCGGGGUGAACUUGGCGCUGACGAGUGGCGGACGGGUGAGUAAUGCUUGGGAAUCUGCCCAGUAGUGGGGGACAACCCGGUGAAAACCGGGCUAAUACCGCAUACGUCCUACGGGAGAAAGUGGGGGAUCUUCGGACCUCACGCUAUUGGAUGAGCCCAAGUCGGAUUAGCUUGUUGGUGGGGUAAUGGCCUACCAAGGCGACGAUCCGUAGCUGGUCUGAGAGGACGAUCAGCCACACUGGGACUGAGACACGGCCCAGACUCCUACGGGAGGCAGCAGUGGGGAAUAUUGGACAAUGGGCGCAAGCCUGAUCCAGCAAUGCCGCGUGUGUGAAGAAGGCCUGCGGGUUGUAAAGCACUUUCAGUUGGGAAGAAACGGUCGACGAUUAAUACUCUCGACUCUUGACGUUACCUACAGAAGAAGACACCGUGCCAAACCUCCGUGCCAGCAAGCCGGCAGGUAAUACGGAGGGUGCAAGCGUUAAUCGGAAAUUACUGGGCGUAAAGCAGCACGCAGGUGGCUAGGUC